GCUCCAAUGGGUCAAUGGUAGACCGGCCUGACGAUUUCCAGCAUGUAUGUGAGAGUUGGCAGACAGAUGUGGGUUCGACUCCCGCUUGGAGCC